AGUCGAGCGGUAAGGCCCUUCGGGGUACACGAGCGGCGAACGGGUGAGUAACACGUGGGUGAUCUGCCUCGCACUUCGGGAUAAGCCUGGGAAACUGGGUCUAAUACCGGAUAUGACCUGCUGUCGCAUGGCGGUGGGUGGAAAGAUUUAUCGGUGCGAGAUGGGCCCGCGGCCUAUCAGCUUGUUGGUGGGGUAAUGGCCUACCAAGGCGACGACGGGUAGCCGGCCUGAGAGGGCGACCGGCCACACUGGGACUGAGACACGGCCCAGACUCCUACGGGAGGCAGCAGUGGGGAAUAUUGCACAAUGGGCGAAAGCCUGAUGCAGCGACGCCGCGUGAGGGAUGACGGCCUUCGGGUUGUAAACCUCUUUCGACAGGGACGAAGCGCAAGUGACGGUACCUGUAGAAGAAGCACCGGCCAACUACGUGCCAGCAGCCGCGGUAAUACGUAGGGUGCGAGCGUUGUCCGGAAUUACUGGGCGUAAAGAGCUUGUAGGCGGUUUGUCGCGUCGUCCGUGAAAACUUGGGGCUCAACCCCAAGCUUGCGGGCGAUACGGGCAGACUUGAGUACUGCAGGGGAGACUGGAAUUCCUGGUGUAGCGGUGAAAUGCGCAGAUAUCAGGAGGAACACCGGUGGCGAAGGCGGGUCUCUGGGCAGUAACUGACGCUGAGAAGCGAAAGCGUGGGUAGCGAACAGGAUUAGAUACCCUGGUAGUCCACGCCGUAAACGGUGGGUACUAGGUGUGGGUUUCCUUCCACGGGAUCCGUGCCGUAGCUAACGCAUUAAGUACCCCGCCUGGGGAGUACGGCCGCAAGGCUAAAACUCAAAGGAAUUGACGGGGGCCCGCACAAGCGGCGGAGCAUGUGGAUUAAUUCGAUGCA
rnacentral:rRNA from 1 species